CUCUUACACCACUAUGCCAGCUAAAGAUUGAAGAAGGAUCUGCACAGCAUCCCACCUUGAGGCACGCUCUCGAUGGUCAGUGCAGCCUCAGCCCAUCUGCUGACAGCUCUGCAGCCUGCUCCUGGACCAGCAGCUCCUGUGUUGGCUAGUGCGUUAAGGUCGCUGGAAAGCUGUGCUGUGUUUUACUUGGUGUACACGAACAUCCUUCUGGUGAUUGAUGGCUACACCCUACGGAAAUGUUUUAAUUCUGUCCUUGAAGCUUGCCUUCAGGAACACUGUCAUCCAACAGGUCGCUCACAAUUACGCCAAGCCUUUGCCAUGUCCAGUAUCUUGCCUUCGCUUUGAUGUUAUGUGCUGCAGUAAUCUGUCCAGAACCCAGUCAAUCUGAAUAGAUGUACAGAAAAAUAGCUAAGGCUACUGUCCUUAAUUGUUUGUGUUUUACUUUGCACGGUUAUUAAGGAAAAUACUUGAAGCCUUCACUAUACUUAAAAAAUAAUGUUGCAGAACUUGGCUUCAGGAGGGCAGAAUUCCACUUUUUAUGUAUUGUUCCCUUUUGCAAUAACUCUUUAAACCAUAUUCCUGAGCUAUCUGAAACCCUUGGCCAGAACCUGCAGUUGAGAGGCACAGUUAAAAUGCUUCAAACUGGCUGAUAUUACAAGACUAAACCCUACUUUAAAGACGUUUAACGUUACCACGCGGCAGCCAAGCCCUCCAACACGGCAGGUUUGCAAGCCAGCAAGUCACCUGCAGCUUCUCAUGUCAUCUGCUCCAGUGACACCACCGAGAUAAACUUGAAAAUAGGAACAAAGCACUGGAAAUAUUCCAGAGCUGCCGUAUCCCAGAGGUUAUUUAACUUGGACUUCACACUCCUAAGAUUUCCAUGAAAUAGGCUGAGAACUGAAACAGUAGUCGAUAUUAAGCACAGGAUCAGUAAUUUAACUGUUACUCCACAUUUUUUUUAUGAUCCUCACUGGAUGUGAACCAACUUUUUGUCCUGGUGAUACAACUUUGCCACCUGAAAAAUGACAUUUCCAAGAGAAAAAAAAAAAUCAGUAUGGAAAGUCCUGUGGUGAAUGAAAAAACAACUUGGCAGAAAAAGAGAUAAUUUUGAAAAGCUGAUUAAUGGGUAGGGGGUUUUUUGUUUGUUUGCUUUUCUGUACUUCAUAACAAUUUCUGCACUAGAUACCAUUACCUUUGGAUUCUGUGGGUUUUCCAGGAAAAUUGUUCACUGAAAGCUUUGUGUGCUUUCAACAAGCAAAAUCAAGAGCAAGACUCCACUUGUCGUUUACCAGUAUUUGCCAUCCAUUUUUGGCAGUUUCAGAUUCAUGGUUUCUACUCCCUCUGAAAGCAAUUAGAACAGUGAUUUACAAGUCAUAGGAACAGAAAUUUGUAAAAUCCUUUAUCAGUAUAUUUCAAUAUUAAACACAAUAAAAAAUUAACUCCACCUCCA
rnacentral:lncRNA from 1 species